CCUGUGUGCUCACCAUGCAGCAACAAGGCUAAUAAUGCUAAAAGAACGAGUCAAAAUAAACCUUAAAAAGUCAGAAAAAAUAAGGGGACUACUACAACUUAUAAGGCAAUUCUUUGUACAGGGAUGAAGAAAAAAGUGUGAAGCACCUGUACAGAUACAUGAGAAUCAACAAAGACAUUCUAGCAGUGUCCAGAGCUUCAACUUCAAACAAUGGAACAAGCAAGUCCCACGCUGCAGCAAGGAAAAUAAGGGCUAGAAGUUCAUUCUCUUCUGGAAGUUGAGCUGCUUAACAAGACAAAAAAGAUGCAAGAAUAAAAACACUCAUACCGGAUGUAAAGCUCCCAUAUCCACCUUCAUGUCACGCAACAUAAAAGACUUCUCUUCCGGCUCCAUGGAACUAUCUUACUUCUGGUUUCAUCCCAAUGACUUCAGUUCCAUCCCUUUGCUUCUGACGUCAUCUGCAGCUGCUACAUUUGACCUCACAUCCGUUAUUGAUGUCAUUUCCUCCCUGUUAAUUAUAGUUCCUUGAUCAACUCCAUAAAAACGUAGUGAACCCA